CAUUUUGCUUUUCUGCGGGAUUCAUUCACAUUGAUCAAAAGUUUGAAAAUUCUGACAAAGCGGCAGCUACAGGAACAAAGCUGGAUGAUGGUUAAACGAUGUCUCCGAA